rnacentral:rRNA from 1 species
UACGUAGGGCGCAAGCGUUAUCCGGAAUUAUUGGGCGUAAAGAGCUCGUAGGCGGUCUGUUGCGUCCGCUGUGAAAACUCGGGGCUUAACCCCGAGCCUGCAGUGGAUACGGGCAGACUAGAGGUAGGUAGGGGAGAAUGGAAUUCCCGGUGUAGCGGUGAAAUGCGCAGAUAUCGGGAGGAACACCGGUGGCGAAGGCGGUUCUCUGGGCCUUACCUGACGCUGAGGAGCGAAAGCGUGGGGAGCGAACAGGAUUAG